AGUGAACGCUGGCGGUAGGCCUAACACAUGCAAGUCGAACGGCAGCACAGUAGGAGCUUGCUCUUACGGGUGGCGAGCGGCAGACGGGGGCGGUAUACACCGGAAUCUACUUUUUCGUGGGGGAUAACGUAGGGAAACUUGCGCUAAUACAGCAUACGACCUACAAGUGAAAGCCGGGGAUCUUCGGACCUUGCGCGAUUGAAUGAGCCGCUGACGGAUUAGCUAGUUGGCGGGGUAAAGGCCCACCGAGGCGACGAUCCGUAGCCGGUCUGGGAGGAUGCUCAGGCAGACUUGAGCGGAGACACGGCCCAGCUUCGAACGGGAGGCAGCAGUGGCGAAUACUGGACACAGGGGGCAAGCCUGAUCCAGCCAUACCGCGUGGGUGAAGAAGGACUUCGGGUUGUAAAGCGCUUGUGUUGGGAAAGAAAAGCAGCAUGUUAAUACCCCGACGUUCUGACGGUACCCAAAGAAUAAGCACCGGCUAACUUCGUG
rnacentral:rRNA from 1 species